UACAGAGGGUGCAAGCGUUAUUCGGAAUCACUGGGCGUAAAGCGCGCGUAGGCCGCUUGGUAAGUCUGAUGUGAAAGCCCUGGGCUCAACCCAGGAAGUGCAUUGGAUACUGCCAGGCUAGAGUACAGAAGAGGACAGUGGAAUUUCUGGUGUAGAGGUGAAAUUCGUAGAUAUCAGAAGGAACAACAGUGGCGAAGGCGACUGUCUGGGCUGUUACUGACGCUGAGGCGCGAAAGCGUGGGGAGCAAACAGG
rnacentral:rRNA from 1 species